CCUACGGGAGGCAGCAGUGGGGAAUUUUGGACAAUGGACGCAAGUCUGAUCCAGCCAUGCCGCGUGCGGGAAGAAGGCCUUCGGGUUGUAAACCGCUUUUGUCAGGGAAGAAAAGGUUCUGGUUAAUACCUGGGACUCAUGACGGUACCUGAAGAAUAAGCACCGGCUAACUACGUGCCAGCAGCCGCGGUAAUACGUAGGGUGCAAGCGUUAAUCGGAAUUACUGGGCGUAAAGCGUGCGCAGGCGGUUAUGCAAGACAGAUGUGAAAUCCCCGGGCUCAACCUGGGAACUGCAUUUGUGACUGCAUAGCUAGAGUACGGUAGAGGGGGAUGGAAUUCCGCGUGUAGCAGUGAAAUGCGUAGAUAUGCGGAGGAACACCGAUGGCGAAGGCAAUCCCCCUGGACCUGUACUGACGCUCAUGCACGAAAGCGUGGGGAGCAAACAGGAUUAGAUACCCUGGUAGUCCACGCCCUAAACGAUGUCAACUGGUUGUUGGGAGGGUUUUCUUCUCAGUACGAGACUACGCGUGAGUGCCGCCGUGGGAGGUACGGUCCGGUCGAGGUUAGUUAACGUUAAAGGUUAAGUUAGUACGGCGUUGGNGGACGUUGCCGACGGACGACGACGAGGGAGGAGG
rnacentral:rRNA from 1 species